rnacentral:rRNA from 1 species
ACGGGGGGUGCAAGCGUUAAUCGGAAUUACUGGGCGUAAAGCGCGCGUAGGCGGUCUGGUCAGUCGGAUGUGAAAUCCCCGGGCUCAACCUGGGAAUUGCAUUCGAUACUGCCAAACUAGAAUGUUAGAGAGGGAAGUGGAAUUUCCGGUGUAGCGGUGAAAUGCGUAGAUAUCGGAAGGAACACCAGUGGCGAAGGCGGCUUCCUGGCUAAACAUUGACGCUGAGGUGCGAAAGCGUGGGGAGCAAACAGG